GGGCGCAGCCUGAUCCAGCCAUACCGCGUGGGUGAAGAAGGCCUUCGGGUUGUAAAGCCCUUUUGUUGGGAAAGAAAAGCAUUCGGUUAAUACCCGGGUGUUCUGACGGUACCCAAAGAAUAAGCACCGGCUAACUUCGUGCCAGCAGCCGCGGUAAUACGAAGGGUGCAAGCGUUACUCGGAAUUACUGGGCGUAAAGCGUGCGUAGGUGGUGGUUUAAGUCCGUUGUGAAAGCCCUGGGCUCAACCUGGGAAUUGCAGUGGAUACUGGGUCACUAGAGUGUGGUAGAGGAUAGUGCAAUUUCC
rnacentral:rRNA from 1 species